CAAAUGAAUCGAACGGCUCCGAUCUGCUCUUGUUGAAGCUGCCUGUUAAAAUCCUAGUUUUAUACAGUCUAUGAUGAAAACCCAGUAUAAAGCACAGUGAGAUAAAGUCUAUGUUGUUGCGUUU